CUUCCACAGCACGCUUCAGCCUCACUGUGCGAAGAAAACCAAAGAAAACCAUUGCACCACGAUGUACCAGGAGGUACAUCGUGAUUGCGCUUAGGUUAGUACGUCUUCGCACCACGUGUUAAGAAAUUUCCAAUUUGUUCCAUGUAUGUUUGGAUGGAAAAUAUCCAUUGAAAGAAUACCCCUAAAAAAUAAAAAUGGAUGUUAAACAACUUGGUAGUCUACCCUUGAUUCAUAAGCUUAGUAAUUGUGUUUCGAAACUCGACGUAAUUUUAUUUCAGGAAACAUUACAAUUGCUGCUUUGGGUAUGCCUUUAUUUCUCCGUGACAAUUUUUUUAGCACCACAAAUACUUUUGUUCAACGAGGUGUCUAGAAGAUGUUUAAGUCUUUGAUUGAAGUUGAUAAAUAUCUAAAAUUUCUUUUUUUAUAAUGUCAUUCUUGUGCUAGGGCUUGAUCUGUUCACAAACAUAAGGGUAUGUAAUGCAACCUGUGGCCAGAAAGGGUGAAACCAAAGUAUGCCUUGGAAUUGACAUAAGUCUGUUAGGAAGCAGUGCUACCUAAAAGUCUGAAUAUUGGUUUUCAGAUAUCUUGAUUAUUCCCCUGCCGGUAACUGAUUUUUAUACAUUCCAAUCCACUUUGCGUUUUUGGAUGCCAGAAAUCUGUGAGAGUUGUUGAACUCUUAUUGUCAAAUGCUCCUUUUAAUUGACGAGCCCAUUUGAUUGUGAUGAAACCCGAGGAAGGGUUAAAGACCGGCUUUUUCUUACCGCCAAAUGCCUAACCGAAAGAACCGAAGAUUUGAUCAGUCUGUCAGAUUCUGCUUUUAUCAAUUUUUAUGUGAUUUGCCUGGCGUCGAACCUCUAAUAGGAGAAUUUCAUUUUGGCCUAAACAAAAUGGAAGAUAUCCUGUACAAAAAGAUGGUGAGUCCUGAUUUGCACACAAAUUCCAGCAAUGAGGCUAUAACUUUGACUCCAUUUCAAAACUGGCUACCUUCCUCGCGUCUUGAAAAGGCCUCUUUUGCGUCAGACCCGAUGCACAAAUUUACCGUAACUGAUGCACUUAAUGGUUGUCUACGUCUGUUAGCAGAUUCUCUCAUUAGGAUGCGACCGUAUUCAAUUUAUCUUCUCUGCUGUCUGAAGCAGCUCUCAUCAGCCAAGCCUGUAAUGACUCCCAAUUCGAGUUGCUAGAACGAGAACGAUAAUCAUGUUGGCAAUUACCUGAAUCCCCUUUGACAAACAUAUUUUGUUAAAGGUGCUUUGGCAGGGUGUCUCAUUCGACGAAGAUAAGCAGGCAGCAGCUGGUAAAACCAGGAAUGUCUUUGUAUUGAAAACCCAGAAGAGAAAAGGACCGUUUGCUGGAACAGUUCAGAAUGGAUUUCGACUAACUGGAAUCGAUGGAGUGGUCAGCGUUGGUGGUCAUCUCUUCGAAAAAAUUAUCGUAGAAAAUGUAUGAAGCAAAUUGAUUGCGUUUGCCACCAAAGUUGAUACUGGGACGCCUGUCUAGUGGGUGGUUUCUUCGUCGUGUGAUUAUGAAGACAGGAUACUACCUAAUAGAGCAACUCUUAAUCGAUGAUCUGGAAGAACGUCUUCCGAUGCUUAACACACGGUUAUCGGUUAAAGGUAAUUAUAGUAUCUACCUCCUUCAACCACAUAAAUGUAUUAUUGCAGCAAACCAAUACGGUUAGUACAAAUUGGGGAUUGAAGCUGUAACAUCAUAGCUUCACCAAACCCUUAAAACUGAUGCGCGCUUCUGACAGCGGUAAUAGCACAUUAGUAAAUAGCAUUGUCAACUACGUCGUGAAUGUCCAAUGGAAUUAUUCGUUUCCGAAUCGAUCCCGGAAAGGUUAAUAAACAUGAGUAACGGCUUGUAACAUUCAUCCCGUUGACGUAGGGUCAUCCCGUUUUCUUUUACCGUUAUUGAUACUACCGGUUAGCGGCAACGUCGAAACAAACGCUGAAACGACUCGAAGCAUUGCAAAUCUUUUGUCUCGCGAAAAUUUUAUCAAGACAUAGGAGACUGUUGACGCAAUUUCACUCAGAUUUUUUGGCAAAUGUUGGAAUAUCUUACCCAAAAGAAUUUUGUUGAGAUUGUUUGCGCCUUCUUUAAUCCUAGCGAUUAGGUAACCACACGAAAAUUCAUUUGCCAGGAACAUCACGAAGUCGCCAAUCGUCCUGGAGACGAUACCAACUUCCAUUGCCAGUUUGACAACUUGGUGCUUUUCGCCUCCAAACGAGUACAGCAACGGGGCGAAGGCGAAGAGGAUUUACAUUCCUGAAGACACUAACUGGGACAGAAUAUAGGACAUCUCGCGCAAGAAAUUCUGGGAUCAAAGACCGAAAGUCAGCUCAGCAGGGAGAACUGUCUAGACAAGUUCAUCAGUAGGAAAUAAAUGAAAUCUUAUCGUAGUAAUCUGUGCUAAACUAUCGAAUACGUGAAAACAUUGUCUUUGUUUAGUACUUUUAAAUUUUGCUAAAUUCAAUUGUUGUAAUAUGGUUCUUAUUUUUAAUGGUUUCAACCAUUAGACGCAGACAAAUGCAAACAUAGUUUCCAUUGACGUUUUUAUUCUCUCAGUUUGAGUAUUCUUUUGUAAUCCAGGGUUUGCUAUUCGAAAAGUAUCGGUUAUGUGCUUUUCAGCGAAUAACAUAACGAAGAAUUUGUUGAAACGAACGAUUCAAAAAUAUUUUCGUAUACAAUAUCAUAUAUCUUCUUAUUCAUUUUCGGAGACAUUGGGACUGGGAGGUGAGUUAUAGUGACGACAAUUAUAGUCAACGAUCCAAUUUCUACGGCAUCUGUCAACGAUGUAAUUUCACCAACAAAAAGGACAAACGCCAUAACAACUCAGGAUGAUUCAUUUGGAAUAGUCACAACGUUUCAGAUCUAGCACAUCAGAUUCCACGAUCAAACCAAAAGUUAGAAUCAAAUACAUUAUAUAAACGUUUUCAUUCGAGCAAUGAACUAAAUUUUCAGAUUCUCUUUUAUAACCACACACGAACCAUUUGUUUCUUAGAAGGCGGACCAGCUCGCUAUGAAUUCGGCCCUGAGUUUGUCAUGUAGAAAAUGAGAUGCAUAACUUAAUGAGAGAAAACAAAGAAACAUCUGAGAAUGUGCAACUUUUUGUUUCUCUACAGAAACCUGAGAAAACCACCAAAUAAUAAACAAAUGGAACUAAUUCAACUCAAAAAAGAAGAAGAAAAAAAAAAUUAGGCAUCGUGUUCUCAGUCAAUAUCAUCACCCGAUGUUCUUGCUUUCUGCUGUUCUUUGUAUUCUUGGUAGUCUUGAAUGUAAUCGGGAUGCUUACGCCUGAUAUGUUUCUGAAUAUACCGGCGCUGUGAAAGCAUGUGAGAGCAGAUAGGACAAGGAAAUGAGGGAACAACACCGCAUUCGUAACGAAGGUGGGCCACUUCAAAUCCAACGUCGACCACAUCGCGGACAGGAAAAAGGUCGGUCACCGCCAUCGGGAUCUUCUAUUAUGACAGAGCUACACUAAUAUUUGACGCUUUUCACAUUGAGAGGAGUCCGACAUGGUGAGAUCAUAGUUAGUCUCAGAGGCUCCAGCGCCAUUCUCUGAAGCCCAAGUUUCGUUACCGGUUUCUAAUCAUUACAUUGUAAAGAUUAAUAAAUAAAUGCAUAUAUAUUAAAAAAGAUAAAAACAUAUAUCCAUGAAGAAGAAAAUUCCAUCCCACCCUGAGCUGAAGCUAUUGCUCCGUAAGAACCAGAAGCGGAAAUUCCACUGAGACUAUGCUGAGAAUUCCCGGCACUCCAACAUUCAUCAUCUUCUUCCUACAAAAUUACAAUCAAAUAUUCCUGAUCCGAAUGUCUUUCUUGGUCAUCUUCAAGUUGCUCACCAACAGUGGGAUCCGUCUCCAUUUCACAGUCUCCGAGAUCAGGCGUUUCGUCUGAUUCGACAGGUUGUUGCGACUGCUUUCGUUCCGCCAAAG